GCUGGGGCUCAGUGGUAGCGCACUCGCCUGGCAUGUGUGGGGCACUGGGUUCGAUUCUCAGCUCCGCA
rnacentral:tRNA from 1 species